rnacentral:tRNA from 1 species
AAAAAGUUAGUUAAAUAAUAACAUUAAUAUGUCAAAUUAAAAUUACUUAUAUAAAGUACUUUUUG